rnacentral:rRNA from 1 species
GGUAGUGGGGGACAACGUUUCGAAAGGAACGCUAAUACCGCAUACGUCCUACGGGAGAAAGUGGGGGAUCUUCGGACCUCACGCUAUCAGAUGAGCCUAGGUCGGAUUAGCUAGUUGGUGAGGUAACGGCUCACCAAGGCGACGAUCCGUAACUGGUCUGAGAGGAUGAUCAGUCACACUGGAACUGAGACACGGUCCAG